CAGGGCCCCUAGAGACUCCAGGCAGAAAGGUAUUUGCUACUAGCUCACCCUGGAAAGUUCACUGGGAACCACUGCUGCUUAUAAAUGGACGUCCCAGAAAGCUGCUUCUCAGGCGCCAGGUGCUUCCAUCAUAACUUCACAGGCACCUCAAGCAAUCAUUUCUCCUAAUAACUCUGUACACCUCCUCCUUAAGGAAAUCACUCACACCGAGGCUGAAGCAACUGAUAAGUGUUCAUCCUUUAAUUUAAGACACAGACAGAGGGAAGAUAAUGUGAGGACCCAGGGCGAAGAUAGCCAUCUACAGCCAAGGAGAGAGGCCGGGAGCAGCCCCUUCCCUCACAGCCCUUGGUAGGACACCUUGAUCUGGGACUUCUAAGCUCCAGAACUGUGAGAAAAUAAAUCUCUUUUGUUAAGCACCACCCAGUCUGUGGUGCUUUAACUAAUACGUAGAGUUGUCGUGAGGAUUAAAUAAUUUAUAUAAUAUAGCAAAACACCUGAUAAUAUUCAGUAUGUGGUAGCUGUUAUCAAUAACAAUGAAAUUGGCUCCACUUUAAACAAAAAUAAAUCCUAACUCACUUGCAUUAUUAGACUGAUAAGGCUAUCAAGAUUACUUGUGUCUCUGCUUAACUGAGUGUCAGAGGGUCCUUUUUUUCCAUUCUGAUGUUUAAAUCUUUUAAAUAUGCCUCAUCCAUCCUUAUACUGAUUAAAAUUAAAGCUUUUUGUUUUUUUUUUUUUACUUACAGGCCCGAGUGCCUCUAUUUAAUUGCAAGAGAUUGAAAUUGAACGUGUCCUGCUUAUAGAAAGAAGUUUUGUUUUGUUUUGUUUUUAAUAAGUCAGUCAAGUUGUCAAUGUUUUCUAAUGACUUGCUUCUUUUUUUUUUUUCACAACAGAGUGCUGAAAAUUCCAGUUAACUUUAAGGUUCUAGGCAAUUGAAUAAAUCCAAUGUGUCAACAUUCUUUGCUUUCCUUGGGCACAUUCUGCAAAACACAGUCUUACAUAACUGCUCUACAUUGUGAGGACUCAAACUUGUG